UGCACCGGUAGGUGGAAGAAGCAUCCAGCUGCGCUAUUAUAGCAGCCAUUUGGAAGCACUCGAUCUUUGUCUAGUAAUAAUAAUGGAUCAGGAAGAGUUUAUAUAUGUAGUUUGUGUUUGUGAGAGGCAGUACCCAGUAUUAUAUGCAAAUCCAGAGGAAGCUUCCUCCGUGCUUUUUGUCUUUGAGGUCAAGUCAACGAGGAAGCUGCUUCUAAACAUACUAAAGGAAAGUCAAGAGGAGUGUCAUUCACUUGUCUCCAUGAGGACUGGGUUCCAAGCUAAUGAUGACCAAAGAGCAGAGCUACGUUUUCACAACACAAAAGCGGGCCAGGGUGGAUUAGUAAGUAUGUUCGCUAACUGUUCGAUGAAAUUCCCGACUCAGACACUGUGGAAGAAAAUGGACCAUCCCAAAUCGAAUGUUGUUCAAUAUUCUCCACCUCUCUCACUCUCUGUGCUCCAAGAAUUUGAACGGGUGCAAAACUGAAAUGGCUGAAUGGCUGAGUGCUUGCUCGAAAGCGGAAAUGUCUUGAUAGCUGACGAAGAAGAGGAGAUGAAAGAUGCUAACAGAGAAGCUGAAGAAGAAGAAGAAGAAUUUGAUCAGAGCAACAAAGCAACUACAAUCCCAUUCAACCUCAAGGAGCCUGCACCUUGCAUCCCAAGCUAAACACAAUCGCCUGUAAAUCCCCACAGCUCAGCUUCAACUACAGAGCUAGACCCCAAGUUGGCUCGGAUUCCACCCCACUCACUCUCAGGCGAAAUUUGAAAAAUGCACUUUUUUUUCAA